UUUAUGUGUAUAACUUUUUACAAUGAAGAAGCUCCUCUAGUCCUCUUCCCAAGCUCCGAUCCCCCAAAAAACCAUAAGUAUCAAAAAGGAAGAGAAAAAGAGAUGCAGAAAGUAGUUCCUGAUUUCUCUUUUGAGGCAAAUCAGUUAUCAAAGAGAAAUUUUCUAAAUUGAGAAGGAGCAGCUCGUCUUGGUUGCUGCGGGGAUCUGGCUGCUGGAGUUCUCGGUUUCGCUGGAACUCAGCAUCUGAAAAACCAGUCCGGCCAUGUCAAUGCUGGCCAUGACUGUGGUCUUUGAGUUGGAGAAGGACGGGCCGAACGUCUCAUGAUUUCCAUAGGUGUAAGUGUCACAGGAAGAAGAAGAGCCACUUCUGGUUAUCCCGGCCUCGAGCCCCUACAUCACCUCCAUCACAGCCUCCUCUCCAAAACCCCCCUCCUCCCCACUUAGUACCUUCUCGUCCUCAUCUCCUUGAAGUAGCCAUUGCUGCAUUUUAACACAGAAGAACAAAAACCUACACCGAAAAAGCUCUCUCUCUCUCUAAAAGAGGAAACCCACAGGGCCCGACGAAGCCUCAGGGCCUGACGAAAGCCCACCGGGCCUGAUGUCGUAAUGCGUC
rnacentral:lncRNA from 1 species